AGAAUCAACGCUGGCGGCGUGCCUAACACAUGCAAGUCGAACGGGAAAGUGGAGCAAUCCAUGAGUAUAGUGGCGACCGGGUGAGUAACACGUGACUAACCUACCCUUGAGUGGGGGAUAACCUCGGGAAACCGGGGCUAAUACCGCAUAAAAUCUUCGGGAUGAGAAGCUGGAGAUCAAAGGAGCAAUUCGCUUUUGGAGGGGGUCGCGGCUGAUUAGCUAGUUGGCGGGGUAACGCCCACCAAGGCUUGAUCGGUAUCCGGCCUGAGAGGGCGCACGGACACACUGGAACUGAAACACGGUCCAGACUCCUACGGGAGGCAGCAGUGGGGAAUUUUGCGCAAUGGGGGAAACCCUGACGCAGCAACGCCGCGUGGAGGAUGAAGUCCCUUGGGACGUAAACUCCUUUCGACCGGGAAGAUGAUGACGGUACCGGUGGAAGAAGCCCCGGCUAACUCGUGCCAGCAGCCGC
rnacentral:rRNA from 1 species